rnacentral:rRNA from 1 species
GACGAACCGUGCGACCGUUAUUCGGAAUCACUGGGCUUAAAGGGCGCGUAGGCGGUUCGGUAAGUCAGGGGUGAAAUCCCACGGCCCAACCGUGGAAGUGCCUCUGAUACUGCCGGCCUCGAGGGGGAUAGGGGCGUGCGGAACUCAGGGUGGAGCGGUGAAAUGCGCAGAUAUCAGGAAGAACACCUAUGGCGAAGGCAGCUCUCUGGGACGGUACUGACGCUGAGACGCGAAAGCGUGGGGAGCGAACAGG